rnacentral:rRNA from 1 species
UACGUAGGGGGCAAGCGUUAUCCGGAUUUACUGGGUGUAAAGGGAGCGUAGACGGCGAUGCAAGCCAGAUGUGAAAGCCCGGGGCUCAACCCCGGGACUGCAUUUGGAACUGUAUAGCUAGAGUGCCGGAGAGGCAGGCGGAAUUCCUAGUGUAGCGGUGAAAUGCGUAGAUAUUAGGAGGAACACCAGUGGCGAAGGCGGCCUGCUGGACGAUGACUGACGUUGAGGCUCGAAAGCGUGGGGAGCAAACAGG